AGAAUCAACGCUGGCGGCGUGCCUAACACAUGCAAGUCGAACGCGAAAGCCCCGCAAGGGGUAAGUAGAGUGGCAAACGGGUGAGUAACACGUGGGUGACCUGCUUUCGAGUGGGGGAUAACGUCCCGAAAGGGACGCUAAUACCGCAUAACAUCCUGCCUUUUAAGAGGUGGACAUCAAAGCUGGGGACCGCAAGGCCUAGCGCUUGAAGAGGGGCCCGCGCCUGAUUAGCUAGUUGGUGGGGUAAUGGCUCACCAAGGCAACGAUCA
rnacentral:rRNA from 1 species